UACGGAGGGUGCGAGCGUUGUCCGGAAUCACUGGGCGUAAAGGGCGCGUAGGCGGCCUGUGGAAGUCUGCGGUGAAAGCCCGGCGCUCAACGCCGGGUCGGCCGUGGAUACUCUCGGGCUUGAGCUUACUAGAGGCAGAUGGAAUUCCGGGUGUAGCGGUGGAAUGCGUAGAGAUCCGGAAGAACACCGGUGGCGAAGGCGGCAUCCUGGCCCGACACUGACGCUGAGGAGCGAAAGCCAGGGGAGCAAACGGG
rnacentral:rRNA from 1 species